rnacentral:tRNA from 1 species
GGAGGCGUCGCCUAGUGGUCUAUGGCGCCGCACUGCUAAUGCGGUUUGGGUUUAUACCCAUCGAGGGUUCAAAUCCCUCCGCCUCCG